AGUUCACUCCUAUGUGGAAUCUAAAAAAAAAAAAAAAAAAAAAAAAAAAGAAAGAAAUGAAUAAGCGAGCAAAAAAGCAGAAUCAGACCUGUAAACACAAAGCACAACUAGCAUAAUGUUUAAACUUGUUGAGUCACUAGGCUGUACAUCUGAAACUCAUGUAACAUAGUGUGUCUACUAUACUCAAAUAAAAAAAUUAAAAUAACCUAAGUUAAGCUUUACUUUAUUAAGGGUUUUUAAAAAGCGUGUUUAAUCGUUUCCACCAACUGGCACAUUAUAAAAACACAAUUCAUUUUACCUUAGCCCUUCUUUCAUGGCUUAGGUAUUUCUCUGAAACUGUUUGAAACACACAUGAAGAAAGGUAAGAGAUAUUACAUGGCUGCUAAAGAAGAAAGUAUAAUAUUAACUGCAUUAGCAUCAGAAUAAUUUAUAUUCUGAGCAAGAAAACUCAUUAAUGGCCAUGAGCAAUGUUUGCUAAUAAAGCAGCUGAGACAUGAGCCUGAUGAACUGGGGGAGAGCAGGGAAGUUUGCUGUUUGGUGUCCUUCCUGCAGUACCUCCAGGUGUUCUUCCAGGGUCCUUAGGGAACAUCUUCCCUGUGCUUUGUCAUUCCUUCAUGUUUCUCCCUCCCAACAUGGGCUUCAAGGACUGGAAUUCAGAGGAGAUAAGCUUUCUGGCCAUGUCAUUCUGGGCCAUUGCUGAGUUCAAGGUCCUCUUCCUGCUCCUUUUCACCUAGAGUUGUGUAGAGCUGGGGGCUGGGCUGGGCUUGAGGACUGGGAGGUGGGGGGAGUGUUCUUGCAGGUCCAGCCUUCCCUCCUCUAGGAAGUUCCUGGAUUAAAAGCUAAUAGAUGGCAGGGCUCAUGUCUUCCUUCAUUUCUGUGUGCAUGUGUGAAAAUGAAGUGUCAUAAAUACAACUUGUGUAGCCCAGUUCCUGGCACUUAGGAGGAGCACAGUCAAAUUUGUUUUCCUUCCCUCAGUCUUUUCAUCAAACUCCCCUAAUGUCUCUUAGGUCUUGAGGAGACUCCCUCAAGCAGACUUGAGGGCAGGGAUUGGUGGGGGCCAUGUUGGAUAGAUCUGGAGGCUAAUAUAGGUCCUUAUCUCAUUAGUUUACUUUGCAUUAAGUUGCAUUUUGGCAACAUUCGCAAGUCUAAGUGGAUAUUGGAAGAAAUGGACAUUUGGGGAUAAAAAAUCAGAUGUUUCAGGUCUUUCCAGAUGUCCUAGGUGUGCUUAGAGUUUUAGUAUCUCAGACCAGACCCCUGAGCAGAAGCCAAUCACUCUCAUGUAUCAGUGGAUCAGGCAGUCCUUGUUUCAUGAAAACAAAUAUAGCAGAUCAUUCAGAACAAUCAAGAGUGAACACAGGAUGAGAGAGUCUUUGCCAAGUAUGUGGUUGUGGAACUGAGACAGAUUUGGUUUCCUCAUGUGCAGAAUGAAGACAGUAAUGACAACAACAUGGCAGAAGUGUGACCAGGGAGGCUCUAGGCCACGCUAUUGUCUUAACACCAAUCACUUACCAUGUGAACACCCGAGAACUGGGCAGGCUUAAGUGAGCAAACAAAGGUGUUUGGUUGUUGAAUCUGACGAUUCUAUCCUGGGGACAUUUCAGUGAUGAACUAACUUAUGUUUGGGGUAAGAAGAAAAGUGGGAAAGAUGGUGGAGUUGUUGUAUCCACCAAGGGGCUGACUUGUUUAGGUCAGCGUUUUAACAGUCUUCGUGUUUCUCAAUGGACCGAAAUGUUUGCCCAAUUUGGAUAAGGCUGAGUAGCCAAUGGGCUGCUGUAGUGAGUCCUCUGCAAAUGAGCUCAACAAAGUUUAUUGAGUGUUUACUAUGUGCUGGCCACUUGAGCAGGGCACACAGUAGCUCCCUUUGUGAAUGUCACAGACAUGCCCCAGAAGAAUGCUUGUCAGGACUAUUGUGGAAAGCAGGGUGUCAUUAAACUCCAACAAGCAUAUGUAUGGGGCAAUUAUGGGGAUGAAUAGGUUGGCAAGGGCCCCUCUGAGGAAGGUCACUUUAGGUGAGACUGGAAUGUUGAGGGGCUUGGGGGACAAAAGAGCAAGCAGGAUCAACGAGUGGCUUGUGAGAAGGCCUGACGAUGGCAAAGCUCCAUGAACUGGAGGGAGUCACCCAAGCCAGUGAGGGAGACUGGGGGAGGGUGGAAAGAGGUCAGAGAGGAAGCCUGGGAUUGGGGAUCAUAGACAAGAGGUUUAUAGGGGGAUUUCUUGAACAGAUGAGGCAGAUCUGACAUAAGCUGAUUUGAAAGGAUCAUGACCAUGGAAGGAAAAUGAACUUGAGGAGGUCAGGCUGGAGGUAAGCAGGGGACACUCAUGGGAAAGCAGGAACACCCUUCUUGGGCCAGGGGGGGAUGAGGGUGGUCAGGAGCCAGGUAAUGGCCAUGGAUAUGGAUUUGAGAAAAGUCUUGAACAUUCUAGUACAUUGGAGUUAGACUGGGUGGGAAAAUGGAGUGUGUAGUGGAAUGUCCCUCCAGUUUCUGGCAGAGAUAACUGGGUUCACCCAUCUCCUUUACUGAGAUGAGAACCUGCAGGCAGGGAAGGGCUGGUGAGGAAGACCUGGUGCUCCCUGGUUUUCUUUCAGAGACCAUAGAAUCUGCCUUUCUUUGUGCACACUGUGGCCUGGCAAGGAGAGGGCUGAAUUGUACCGAAGCCCUGUGUGAGAACAAAAUACUAAGAAGCAAUAGGUCAAUGUCCAUUCAUUUGGUCAGGGCCAGGGUCCUGGAGUUGAUUCUGGAAGCUCCUGUUGCUCAGUCUUAACCUCUCUGCUGCCAAGUUGUCGAGAGCACCUUGGCGGUCUCCUGGUGAAAAAAACACAUAGCAACUACACUGGGACUCCUCAAUGGCUCUGGCCACAUGUGAUUCACAAAUAGACAUGUAACCAUCUGGGUAGUAAAGAGCCAGUACAAAGAGCCCCAUGCACAGGGAUAGGUAUUAAUCUUGGCUCUGGCAAAGCUUUUGGUCUCCCCGCUUUUGGUCUAGAAGUUAGCCAACCUGGACAGUAGCAGUUCUUCAACAAAGGAUUGCUGAAUCUGGGCCUCUGUUUGUCCCCAUGCAGGGUGGGUCAGUGUACCUGUACCUGUCCUGUAUUUCUGGUUCUGGUCAUGCUGUUUCAUUCCUGAUAAUGGGGGUGCAUAUCCAGAAGAUAGGGCAGAGUCUGCUGGGAUUGUUUUUUGUAAGCUUUCACUUUCAAAUGGUGCAGGAGUCAGAGAAGGGUGGAUUCUCCUGUUUGGGAGCGCUUAGAGGGGGCUCAGGACCCUGUUUUGGCUCAGACCCCUGCAACCUGUUCAGGUUCUGCUUCCCCACUCAUCUGGGAACCACCUGCCUCUCAGGCAAGAAGACCCUAUGGCACCCAACGUUGGAUUUGGAAGCAGGGUUUGGGGCUCAGAGCAGCUAACUGCAAGUGCAACCUCUGAGAGCAGAUUUGGGGUCUGCUGAGAUCUCACACUACUGAGUUAGAGACAUUCCAGAAGUCUCAGCUUUCUAAGCAGCCCUGAGGAAAUGGAGGAUUGCCGCAGAGGCUCUUUGCUCUCCCGUCUCACUUCCCUCCUUCUCUUCUUCCAGUUGCCUGCUGGGGGGUCUGCAGGUAUCAUCCCAAAUAUGCCUGAGGACAUCCCGAGGAAGUACAUGCUAGAAUAAUCUCCAUUGCACAGGAAGGACACAGACCAUCCCUGAGAGGCACAAUGGCUUAUCCAGGGUCAAAAUCAGAACUGCACACCAGAGAUGGGGCAGGAGUUGAGUGAUGAGAUCCUCUGCUCAACUUCUGUGAAGGACAGGAAUAUGCCCCACACCACCAACAGGAUGCAGCACCGAACUGGCUCAGGGGUAAAAAUGCCUCAACCGUGAAUAAGAAUGAGACCAGUGUGGUGUGGACCAUCCAGGCAGGCUUGCUGGAUAAGCAAGUGUAGCAUCCUGUGCCUGUCUUCCUUGGCAGAGAUCGCUCCCCCCCCCCCCAUGUCUCCAUGUUCCUGGACAUGUACAGAACUUUUCCACUACUGAAAAGGUGCUGGAUCUGUUGAUUCCAAGGUAUGGAUGCAUCCUUCCUGAAUGUGAUGAAGAUGGCAGACCCCUGGAGCAGCAGACAAUGGCCAUCUUCUCCAUUCUGGGCACCUGGAUGGACCACUCCCCUGAGGAUUUUUUCCAACCUGCAGAAUUUCCCUGCCUGAAGAUGCUGCUGGCAUAUGUGGGGCUUAACAUGCUGGGCUCACACCUGGAGCACCAUAUGUCUGUUUUCCUCUCAUAGCUGGGACACAUGGAGCCCAAUGAGCCAGAGGUUGAGGCUAUAGCACCCGUUCCGGAGCAGGAUCCAGAACCAACUCAAGAGCUAGCCCCAGCUCCCACUGUGGUGCCUGCUGCAGCUUCAGAGCCCAAGGUGGCUGAAGCCAUCACUCCUGCUGGAGCUCAGCAAUUAGGAAAAGCAGUGACCCUCCCUGCAGUGUCAGAGCCAGUGCAGGUGGUAGUUAUAGCUAUGAUUCACUGUCAGGAGCUGGAAGAACCAUCUGCACCUUUGGCAGCCCUGGAGCAUGAGCAGGCUCCAGCCCCAGCUACUGGGGUUAUGGAAGGACUAGAACAACCACUUGCUGUAGUUGAACAACCAGCCUCAGUUCCCAAGCAGUGGCUCAUGUCGGCUGCAGCCCCAAAGGAUGGCUUCCCCUCCCGUCGUUGCUUUUUUUGAAAUUUUUGUGUUUUUUUAUUCAGAUAUGGAAUGGCUUAGUGUAUUUUGUUUUAUAAAUAAAGUAUAAAUUGACUUCAAGUAAAGUUUGACUCUGAUCCUUUUAAAUUGGAUGUUGAAGUGUCAUUAGGUACUUUGACAAUGUUGUACAACCAUGACCACUAGGUACU